rnacentral:lncRNA from 1 species
CGGCAGAGUGUCCUGCAGGGAGCAGAGACCGUCAGUCUCGCACCCCAACCACAGGCCAAAAUAAUGAAAGGGGAGACAGCUGGUCCCCCUCUCCACCAGCAGAGAGAGUGUCAGGGAGAGGAGCCUGAUACCCCUUCUCCCCAGCGGCAGUUUACAGUUCAGAGAGAGGAGCUUGUUACACCCUCUCUCCAGCGGCAGCCUAACCCAGCAAGGGGAGAUGUUACACCCCCCAACAGUGCAAAUGGGACUGUAGUCUCUGCACUUACAGCACAAGGGGUAGGGACAGUCGGU